AAAAGCUCGUAGUUGGUUCUCAGCAUGGGACGGGGGGUCCGCCUAACGGCGUUAAUCCCCCGCUUUCCGGCACUCGGCCGGUUUCCCCGGGAUGAUCUUCACCGGUCGUCAGGGGUGACCGGCGAGUUUACCUUGAAAAAAUUAGAGUGCUCAGAGCAGGCGAGAAGCCUGGAUAAUGGUGCAUGGAAUAAUGGAAUACGACCUCGCUUCUGUUUUGUUGGUCCACCGAAUCGAGGUAAUGAUUAAGAGGGACAGACGGGGGCAUUCGUAUUGCGACGCUAGAGGUGAAAUUCUUGGACCGUCGCAGGACGAACCACUGCGAAAGCAUUUGCCAAGAAUGUUUUCAUUAAUCAAGAACGAAAGUCAGAGGUUCGAAGGCGAUCAGAUACCGCCCUAGUUCUAACCAUAAACGAUGCCAGCCAGCGAUCCGGCUGUGUUCCUAGAAUGACACGCCGGGCAGCUUCCGGGAAACCAAAGCUUCUGGGUUCCGGGGGAAGUAUGGUUGCAAAGCUGAAACUUAAAGGAAUUGACGGAAGGGCACCACCAGAAAUGGAGCCUGCGGCUUAAUUUGACUCAACACGGGUAAGCUCACCCGGUCCGGACACAGGAAGGAUUGACAGAUUGAUAGCUCUUUCUUGAUUCUGUGGGUGGUGGUGCAUGGCCGUUCUUAGUUGGUGGGGUGACUUGUCUGGUUAAUUCCGAUAACGAACGAGACUCUAGCCUACUAAAUAGACGCACCCGCCCUCAACGGGCGGGACGUUCUUCUUAGAGGGACAAGCGGCUCUCAGCCGCACGAGACAGAGCAAUAACAGGUCUGUGAUGCCCUUAGAUGUCCGGGGCCGCACGCGCGCUACAUUGGAGGAGGCAGCGUGUGCUUUCCCUGGCCGAAAGGUCUGGGCAACCCGAUCAGUCUCCUCCGUGCUGGGGACAGGGGAUUGUAAUUGUUCCCCUCGAACGAGGAAUUCCCAGUAAGCGCGAGUCAUCAGCUCGUGCUGACUAAGUCCCUGCCCUUUGUACACACCGCCCGUCGCUACUACCGAUUGAAUGAUUCGGUGAGGUCUUCGGACUGGCGCUCGGUUCAGCCCUCGCGGUGGAGCUGGCGUGCCGGAAAGAUGACCGAACUUGAUUAUUUAGAGGAAGUAAAAGUCGUAACAAGGUUUC
rnacentral:rRNA from 1 species